AGUGAACGCUGGCGGUAGGCCUAACACAUGCAAGUCGAACGGCAGCACAGUAAGAGCUUGCUCUUACGGGUGGCGAGUGGCGGACGGGUGAGGAAUACAUCGGAAUCUACUUUUUCGUGGGGGAUAACGUAGGGAAACUUACGCUAAUACCGCAUACGACCUACGGGUGAAAGCAGGGGAUCUUCGGACCUUGCGCGAUUGAAUGAGCCGAUGUCGGAUUAGCUAGUUGGCGGGGUAAAGGCCCACCAAGGCGACGAUCCGUAGCUGGUCUGAGAGGAUGAUCAGCCACACUGGAACUGAGACACGGUCCAGACUCCUACGGGAGGCAGCAGUGGGGAAUAUUGGACAAUGGGCGCAAGCCUGAUCCAGCCAUACCGCGUGGGUGAAGAAGGCCUUCAGGUUGUAAAGCCCUUUUGUUGGGAAGGAAAAGCAGCAGGUUAAUACCCCGCUGUUCUGACGGUACCCAAAGAAUAAGCACCGGCUAACUUCGUG
rnacentral:rRNA from 1 species